rnacentral:rRNA from 1 species
AGUGAACGCUGGCGGUAGGCCUAACACAUGCAAGUCGAACGGCAGCACAGUAAGAGCUUGCUCUUACGGGUGGCGAGUGGCGGACGGGUGAGGAAUACAUCGGAAUCUACUUUUUCGUGGGGGAUAACGUAGGGAAACUUACGCUAAUACCGCAUACGACCUACGGGUGAAAGCAGGGGAUCUUCGGACCUUGCGCGAUUGAAUGAGCCGAUGUCGGAUUAGCUAGUUGGCGGGGUAAAGGCCCACCAAGGCGACGAUCCGUAGCUGGUCUGAGAGGAUGAUCAGCCACACUGGAACUGAGACACGGUCCAGGCUCCUACGGGAGGCAGCAGUGGGGAAUAUUGGACAAAGGGCGCAAGCCUGAUCCAGCCAUACCGUGUGGGUGAAGAAGGCCUUCGGGUUGUAAAGCCCUUUUGUUGGGAAAGAAAAGCAGCAGGUUAAUACCCCGCUGUUCUGACGGUACCCAAAGAAUAAGCACCGGCUAACUUCGUG